rnacentral:rRNA from 1 species
GACGAACGCUGGCGGCGUGCUUAACACAUGCAAGUCGAACGGAAAGGCCCUGCUUUUGUGGGGUGCUCGAGUGGCGAACGGGUGAGUAACACGUGAGUAACCUGCCCUGCACUUUGGGAUAACUUUAGGAAACUGGGGCUAAUACCGGAUAGGACCUCCUGCUGCAUGGGGGUGGUUGGAAAGUUUCGGCGGGUGGGGAUGGACUCGCGGCUUAUCAGCUUGUUGGUGGGGUAGUGGCUUACCAAGGCAUUGACGGGUAGCCGGCCUGAGAGGGUGACCGGCCACAUUGGGACUGAGAUACGGCCCAGACUCCUACGGGAGGCAGCAGUGGGGAAUAUUGCACAAUGGGCGGAAGCCUGAUGCAGCAACGCCGCGUGCGGGAUGACGGCCUUCGGGUUGUAAACCGCUUUCGCCUGUGACGAAGCGUGAGUGACGGUAAUGGGUAAAGAAGCACCGGCUAACUACGUG